AGCAGCCGCGGUAAUUCCAGCUCCAAUAGCGUAUAUUAAAGUUGUUGCAGUUAAAAAGCUCGUAGUUGAAUUUCGGGGUUAGUAGGUUGGUCAUGCCUCUGGUAUGUAAUGGUCUCACUGAUUCCUCCUUCCUGAUGAGCCGUAAUGCCAUUAAUUUGGUGUUGCGAGGAAUUUGGACUGUUACUUUGAAAAAAUUAGAGUGUUUAAAGCAAGCUAACGCUUGAAUACAUUAGCAUGGAAUAAUGAAAUAGGACGUUCGAUCCUAUUUUGUUGGUUUCUAGGAUUGACGUAAUGAUUAAUAGGGAUAGUUGGGGGCAUUAGUAUUCAAUUGUCAGAGGUGAAAUUCUUGGAUUUAUUGAAGACUAACUACUGCGAAAGCAUUUGCCAAGGAUGUUUUCAUUAAUCAAGAACGAAAGUUAGGGGAUCGAAGACGAUCAGAUACCGUCGUAGUCUUAACCAUAAACUAUGCCGACUAGGGAUCGGAUGAUGUUAAUUUUUAAUGA
rnacentral:rRNA from 1 species